UUUCUAGAUAUAUAGAGAUAUAUUUCAGUUAGAUAGGCAUUCUUCAUAUCUUUCAAAGACUGCAGAAUAUGGUAUUUAAAAUAUUUUAAUAACUUAGGGCUUUUCAUGACAAUGAGACACGUCUGUUCCUGGCAGCACCAAUCUACUUCAAGAGGAAAAUGGGCAUCAAAGAGGAUCCUUAUGGAAUUUGAUAGCCAUUUGGGCAAGAAACUGGUCUUGCCUGGACUGUUGCAUAAACUAGACACAGAAAACCCGCAGAGAGAGGACUGCUGAACUUGCCUAAAGGUGAGAUGGUCUUUCGGGGUUCCUGCUUCAUAAAAGAAUUCACGAGACAUUCUGCAGGACACAGCAGAAAGUGACUGAACUGUCUUUGAAUUUUCCUGCUUCAUGGAAAUGUCUCUGGAUACUAUGGGCCUGAAGGCCGAAGAUGGAUGCCCCAACAGUACAGAGGAACUUUGGGUGACUGUCCAGGCAGCGAGAUGCCUCUGUUGUUUAUUUCUUGUUUGCUUAGAUAAUAUUAUAUCCUUCUGGAGUCUUUGAUGGAGUUGAAGAAUGAAUAGAUAGUUAUAGUUUUCCUUAGUUAUGAUAAAAGAUCAAAUAGAUAUAAAUAUUGUAACUGUAAUUCUUGCUUGAUAACUGUUUUGUUAUAUGUAAUUUUGCUAUGUUAAGUUAAAGCCUUCUUUUUUUGGUUUAAACAGAAAAAGGGGAAAUGAUGGAGGAAGGCCAUUGGUUAAUUAUAAUAAAGAAACUGCCUUGGCCCAUUUUAUUGGUUAGAACAUAAGUGGGUGGAGUAAACAGAAGAGAAUGCUGGGAGAAAGAAGCUUAGUCAGGAGUCACCAUGAUUCUACCACUCCAGACAGAUGCAGGUUAAGAUCUUUCCUGGUAAGCCAACUCGUGGUGCUACACAGAAUAUUAGAAAUGGGUUAGAUUAAUAUGUAAGAGCUAGCCAAUAAGAGGCCACAGAUAACGGGCCAGGCAGUGUUUAAAAAAUACAGGUUCCGUGUAAUUAUUUCGGGGCAUAACCUAGCCAUGCGGGCGGCCGGGUGCCGGGGACACAGCCCUGCUACUCUAAUCUCAACAACCCCUUGUGGUCCUGACUUCCCUGCCAAUGUUCUCCUUCUUUCUACUCUUCAUUUGGAUCUUGGGAACUCAGUCCAGUGCGCCAAUAUGGGUCUCUGUCUCUAUCUCCAUCCAUCGCCAGGUGAAGCUUCUAUGGUGAUAUGCAAGAUAUUCAUCAGUUUGGAUAUAGGAUAAGGCCAUUUCAGGCUCCCUCUCUUCAGCUGUCCAAGGAACUAGCUGGGGACAUCUCCUUGGACAACUGGGAAUGCCUCUAUAGUCAAGUCUCUUGCCAACCCUAAAAUGGCUCCAUUAAUUAAGAUAUCUACUUCCCUGCUCCCAUAUCCAACCUUCCUCUAUUCCAACCAUCCCAUUCACCCAAGCUCUCCCCACCCUCCCCUUCUCACCUUUCUCUCCCCAUCUCCCCUUACCUUGUAAAGCAAAGGACACUGUCAUUAAGACAAAAAGGCAACCCCUACUGACUGGGAGAAGAUCUUCACCAACCCCGCAUUAGACAAAGGUCUGAUGUCCAAAAUAUAUAAAGAACUCAAGAAACUAGACUUAAAAAUGAUAAUUAACCCAAUUAAAAACAUGGGGCACUGAACUGCACAGAGAAUGCUCAACAGAAGAAGUUCAAAUGGCCAAAAGACACUUAAGGUCAUGCUCAACCUCCUUAGUGAUCAGGGAAAUGCAAAUCAAAACAACUUUGAGAUAGCAUCUUACACCUCUCAGAAUGGCUAAAAUCAAAAAUACCAAUGAUAUAGGCUUUUUUGGAGAGGAUGUGGUGUAAGGGGAACACUCAUCCCUUGCUGGUGGGAAUGCAAACUUGUGCAGCCAUUUUGGAAAGCAGUGUGGCAGUUUCUCAGGAAAUUUGGGAUCAAUGUACCCCAGGAUCCAACAAUACCACUCUUAGAAAUAUGCCCAAGAGAUGCCCUAUCAUACUACUAAAGCAAUGGUUCAAGUAUGUUGAUAACAGUGUUAUUUGUAAUAGCCAGAACCAGGAAUCAACCUAGAUGCCCCUCAAUGGAAGAAUGGACAAAGAAAGUGUGGAAUAUAUAUGCACUAGAGUACUACUCAGUGGUAAAAAACAGUGACAUCUUGAAUUUUGCAUGCAAAUGGAUAGAAAUAUAAAAUACUAUCCUGAGUGAAGUAACCCAGGCCCAAAAAGAUGAAUAUGGUAUGUACUCACUCAUAAGUGGAUUCUAGCCAUAAAUAAAGGACAUUGAGCCUAUAAUUUGUGAUCCUAGAGGAGCUAAAUAAGAUGAACCCGAAGAAAAACAUAUAGUUAUCCUUCUGGAUAAUGGAAAUAGACAUGAUUGUCAAUGGCUUCUCAGUCAGCCCCCAUUGUCAGCCAAAUUUAGAGAGUCCAGUUUGAUCACAUGCUCAUUCAGUACCAGUUCAGCUGAAUAUGGAGAGCUCCCAUUAGAUUAGGCCCACUCUAUCAGUGGGUGGAAAAACCCCUCCCAGUCCUGACUUCCUUGCUCAUAUUCUCCCUCCUCUCUUCAACAGGACCUUGGGAGCUCAGUCCACUGCCCUUAUAAACUUCAUCUGCCGAGGGAUGGAGAUCGAGACAGAGACGCACAUUGGAGCACUGGACUCAGCGCCCAAGGCCCAGAUGAAUAGCAGAAGGGUUCUCUGUGUUCUGAAGAGAGGGAUUUAAUGCAGACAUCCCCUUUAAAACUGUGUGUUUUAAUAAUUGUCUUUGCCAUCCUCUCUGUGCAUAUGUACCCAUCUGUAGCAGGAGGGAUCUUCUCUGAGUAUAGCCAAAUAAGGCCCUAUUGUAUGAGGAUAACAGCAUACCAUCAGGAGUCAUUUCAUCAUAACAU